rnacentral:tRNA from 1 species
GGAGAGAUGUCCGAGUGGUUUAAGGAGCACGCCUGGAAAGUGUGUGUACCCCAAAAGGGUACCCAGGGUUCGAAUCCCUGUCUCUCCG